rnacentral:tRNA from 1 species
UAAGCACAAAUUGUUUGGCCGAUUUAAUAGAGAUCAUUUUAUUGCCGACUUAAGCCCAAUUUUUGCGAUUGCGG